rnacentral:ncRNA from 2 species
ACAAUGGUACUCCCGCCCAGCCACAGUCUCAAACAAUGGGGGCGGCUCUGUCAGAACGACAGUUGGGGUGAAACUCCCGUGA